UACGUAGGGGGCAAGCGUUGUCCGGAAUCAUUGGGCGUAAAGCGCGUGUAGACGGCUCGGUAAGUCCGCUCUGAAAGUCCAGGGCUCAACCCUGGGAUGCGGGUGGAUACUGCCGGGCUCGAGUCCGGAAGAGGCGAGUGGAAUUCCCGGUGUAGCGGUGAAAUGCGCAGAUAUCGGGAGGAACACCAAUGGCGAAGGCAGCUCGCUGGGACGUGACUGACGCUGAGACGCGAAAGCGUGGGGAGCAAACAGG
rnacentral:rRNA from 1 species